GGUUGUUCACAAGCUGCUCACAUCACCAGGUAACAUCAGUUGUACUUAAUGGCAUUGCAACACACCCUCAGUCAGAACGUUUCCAUGACACUUGAGAAAACUGAAUUAGUGCCUUACUCCAAUUAAGACCGGACACCUGCACUGCAUGUAGACACCUUUGUCCAACUCCGACGAAGACACCCAGAUAAUGCAAUUGGAAAUUGAUUUUCUCUAUCAUGUAACCAGUGUAGUCGGAGUACUAUUGGACAAUGCAUGUGUGCUUGCGCAUGCGCCAUGCCGCCGUAACCCCAAAACAAAAACACCAGAGAAGAGGAGUAGCGUGCACCUUAUCUGCAGAAAAAGUAGCACGUACAUUAAGUACGACAAAACCACAAGUACGAUUUACCAUCUUCUUGUGCAAAAAUGCCCAGCAGCAGUUGUAGCCACUUCUGAUGUCUGGCACGGACCUGCUGUUGUUGUUGGGGCAACCAGAGACAGCGCCACUGAAAAGACCCAUUUCGCCCCCUAGUUUUGGGGAGGAGGACACGGUCAUGUCAAUAAUUUGAUUUUCUCAGCUGCAUGUAUACACGGACAAGGAGAGAAGUCCGAUUUGGCGAGAAAAAAAAAAGAGCUUAGUCUGAUUAAGCUGUACAUGUAAACACACUGACUGUUAGCCUCUCAUAUUGCUGUUGAGUAUUUUGUGUGUUUUUCUUUUUCUCUGGUUAAUUUGUGCACUUUUUAUGCAUUAACCACCUCGUCACUUCAGUCUUUGUGAUUUUUUUAGCUUAAUUAUCUGAUCAGCCCAAGAUGAUAUCAUUGGUCAAUACCUCCACCAGUAUUACCACUCCACUGGGGAUACAUUUUGCUACAGCCGAGGGUAGACAACCCCCGAUCGCCUUAUCACCCUGUAGAGUUGAAGAGCCAAUAAAUCUCUCGUAAUAAUUCUAUAACAAAUCUGUGAGAAAAAUAUACACUACCAUGCAAAAUUAAAGCCGCUGGCAUCAUUGGACCUGAGCGACAUCUUUUUCAGGGGUGUCCUUGCUGAUUUCAGGGAGACAAUGACAACUAUAUUCUGCAUGUGAUACAACAGGCUUCGUAGUGAAAGAGCGCAGGCAGGCUGGUCUAAUCUCCCUCUAUAAAUGUGUGGUCCAUUAUGAAGCAAGAAUGGGAAAGAAUUUCACCUCCAAACAUUCAACAAUUCGUGUCCUCAGUUCCCACAGGCUUAUUGAGUGUCUUUAAAAGGAAAGGUGAUGUAAACAGGCUCUUGUGCCAGCUUUUUAGGAGUGUGUGGCAGGCAUGAAACUCAAAAUGAGUGAAUAUUAGCAAAAAGCCCUGAAGUUUAUCAGUUUGAACAUUUAUAUCUUAUCUUUGUAGUAUUCAAUUAAAUGGUUUGAGGAGGAUUUGCAAAUUGUUGUAUUCUCUAUUAUUCACAUUUACGCUAUGUCUCAGCUUUGGAAUUGUGGUUUAUGGGUGAAUAUGUAAAAUAGUUUACUUUAAGACCUCUUUGGCUAAUUGGACUUUAUUGUAUUAAACCCAGAGGCCUUUCUUUGUUUUCCCCGCCUCAUUUAUCUCACUUUGGGUGGGCUAAAUGAGGGUAAUUAAUAGAAACACCUUUAUGUACAAUGCAGCACAGCUCAGCUGCAUAAAUCCCACCACACAGAAGGAUCAGUACAACACAUCUUCAAAGUUUUUGUUUCACACUUUCAAAAAGGUGAAAGCAACAUAUACUAAUUAUGCAACCAGGUGAUUUGCAGAAAGGUUCCAAUCACUGUAAGAAAUCAUCUCUUAGCAAAGAAACUUUCUUCAUACAAAGUCAUACAAUAACUGGAUUCCAAUGCAAUAAAUUAUAAUUUUGACAUGUAUUUGAUACUCCUAUUUCUUUGAGAACAGGUGCCGUCCUGUUUUAGAGAGGCUGCUUAAGAACAUGUGUGUGUUAUAUUGCACAUAUUUGGCAAAAAUCUGGCUGAUUUAAGCCUGAUAGUAUAUUGAGUGAACUUUUCUGUGUUGUAGCCUACAUGUAACCCCCUUCAUGCAAAUUCUACAUGAACUGUUGGUUAAAACCUUUAUAAGGAAAGAACCAUAUAUACUGUAUAGCAAGCAUUGUUACCUUCAUUAAAGAGGAAUAACUAAUCCAGGACUAUUGGAAAAUUAUGCUCAUUUCAGAUUUUGUUAAUGCCAGCGACAGAUUUCUAAAAAGUUAUAGCAGGUAUUUUUACUGUUCUGUCACAUCGCCUCUCCUUUCAGCAACACUCUGUAAAUAUCUGGGAACCCAGGAGACCAGUGUGUGAAGUAUGAGUGAAAUGUUGUCCUUUUGAUUUUUUUGUGUCAGGUGCUCCAAAUGUUUUCAAUGGAUGACAUGUCAGGAUAGCAGGCAGGCCCGUUUAGCACCCAGACUCUUGCACUUUGCCAUGCUGUUGUCAUAAGUGCAGAAUGUAGUAUGGCAUCUCCUUACUGUAUUAUUCAAGGUCUUUCCACAAAAAAGCAUUGUCUGGAUGGUGGGACAUUUUACUCCAAAACCUGAAUAAGUAGUUCAUCAUUUAUAGAGCUUUUCUGGAUAAGUCAUGCCGAGGGUGCUUAUAUAUCCUCAUACCAUCAGGGUGCUGGCUUUCAAACUGGCUUUAACAAUAUACUCAAAUCAAUUUAUCAAAAAUUUUCAAGUGUUAUUAGUGGUCAUAGUUGUGAAUCUGAAGUUUUUAGCCAAAAUCACAUUACCUGUGUCAUUAAGGGCUUUUCUUCUGCAGAGCUCCAGUCACUCAUUAGCUAUUCGCCUCUGGGUCGUGGGCAGAAACAGUGCUGCUCUGCCCACUCCUCUUCACGCUAGCUUGUAGCCUAACUUUAGGUAAAGUAACAUCGGAGCUAUCCGGCUCUCUGACAUUAACAUCUUCAGGUGCAUGUUGAAUGCUAAUAACAUAAUUCGCUUUCUUACGAGCAUUGCAAUCCGCUACUGCACACACUUGUUCCACCAUCGUCCUCUCUACUUCUCAGAGUCUGGCCUGAGAGCGGGGUGCUGGGGGGGGAGCAGAGAUUUGUGAUGUAAAUAUCCCUCUGUGUCUGAAUCUGCUGUUUGGGUCUGCAGGAGGUUUACAGUGAGUUGAACACAGAAAUUCUCAAAAAUGCAAUUUUCCACUUUGCUUUGUCUUGAUGUGCAUCUUCAGUUGCAGGCAUUUCUGGAUCAUUCCUACAUGGUUUCCCCUUUGUGUUGUACAGGUUUAACCUGAAUAUGUUGAUGCAGUGACAAACUGUGUUCACAGAACUCAAGGCCUGAUUUAUGAUAAAGACCAUCCAGUACCAGUCAUCAGCCGUGUCACAUUUGUAAAGAGAUUUCUCCAGAUUAUCUGAAUAUUUUAGUAAUAAUCUUUUCUUAAAAGGAUUGAAUUCUCCAUUUUUGGAUAAUUUUAGUCUUAGGACUAUUAAUGUGGAGUGGCUGAACUAUAACCUCAUCCUGUUCCCUGCAGAGUGUGAAUCUUUGCUUCCUUGCUCUAUAUUUGAUGACUUUGCACUCUUUUCAAUCCAAUUAAAUUUUAUUCAGGCCUGAAAGAUUUGCAAACUAUUAAAUUUCGAUUUUAGCCCCAAAUU